ensembl:lncRNA
CUGCAAAAAAAAUUAAUCAAUGAGAAGUAAUCUGUAAAUGAGGGAAGAGAAGCGAGAAAGACUUGGGUGGGCCAUGCCAGAGGGAUGGGAUGACAAUUAGAAUAUUUAAAAAGCGAAAAUAUUUCAGGUCAGGCUUGACCCCAAGCAAAUAAUCUUCAUUUUAUCCCUAUCAUAUAAUCAAACGUCAUAUAAGAACGUUCUUUAUUCCUUGUCUUAAAGAAAUAGUUCACUCCAAAAUCAAAAUUUACUGACAAUUUACUCUACCUCAGGGCAUCCAAGAUGUAGAUGAGUUUCUUCAACGGAACAGAUUUGAAGAAAUCCAGCAUUACAUCGCUUGCUUACCGGUGGUUCCUCUUCAGUGAAUGGGUGCCGUCAGAAUGAGAGUCCAAACAGUUUAUAAAAACAUCACUGUAAUCCACAUAAUUCAGUACAUCGAUUAACAUUUUGUGAAGCCAAAAUCUGCAUGUUUGUAAGAAACAAAUUCAUCAGUAAUAAUUACUUUUGGAUUAAUGUAAUGCUUUUAUCAGCUGUUUGGACUCUGAUUCUGACGCCACCCAUUCACUGCAGAGGAUCCAUUGAAGAGCAAAUGAUGUGAUGCUAAAUUGCUCCAAAUCUGCUCUGACAAAGAAACAAACUCAUCUACAUGUUGGAUGGCCUGAGGGUGAGUAAUCUUUGAGCAAAUUUUCAUUUUUGGGUGAACGAUUCCUUUAAUUUGUUCAGAUAUUUUCUUUUUAUUCAGGAUGCUCUCAGACAGAGGCUGAAAUUGCUGUCUGCUGAGAAGUGCGGCCUUCAAUCCCAACUGAAGGACUUCCAAAUAAGAAUCGCACAGGAAGGAAAGACUUACCAGAAAGUCUACGAAGAGAGGCGGGCAUAUCUUGCAGAGAUCGCAAAGGUAAGGAAGGCAUUUAAAACUUUUCCAGUUUGUGCUUUCAAUUUAGUGUAUUCACUUGGCAGAUGUUUUUAUCCAAGUGUAUAGGUUUUAUCAUUAUGUGUGUUCCAUGAGAAUCAGACCCAUCACUGUGGUCUUGAGCUACUUGACCAAAGAUAUUAUCCAAAGUGCUGCUUAUAAUGUGUCUCUAGCUGUCUUCAACGCUGGAUAUGAGCAGAAAGCAGCAGAUGGUUCAAGCCCGGAGGAAAGCGUUGGGUCCAGACAAAACCAGAGGCCAGGAGAGUAUGAGGCAACAUUCAAGUAUGAUGAAAGGGUCUGACAAAAAAGCACCAGCAAGGAGUCGACUCCCUCGAUUAAAACAUUAAUGCAGUUCAGGGAUCUUCAACAGAGCAUCCAUCAAUUAUUGUUUGAUUAUUUUUGUCUGAGUGUUUAUUUUUUAUCUUUUUUUUUAAGAACAGUAAAAUUAAGCAUAAUUUUUGAGUUCAUAGACCUAGCUAUAUUGUCAUAUAAGAUGCUAAUUCUGUUAUGAAAACUUCCCAUAUAGCAAGCAACCACUUAAACAAUGUUAAGUCAAUGUUUAUGUGUCAGUGCUACUGCUAACUGCAUUGAAUUAAUGUUAUAAAGUGAUGUUGGUGCUAUAUCACCUUUGAACCCGCAAUUAAUGUUGAAACAAUGGGGAUAUUUCAACAACAACAAAAAAAAGUAAUGUCAUUAAAUCACUAUUAUGAAGUAAUGAUGGUUCAUUAUCACUUAUUCACCCUCAGUUAAUGUCAACCCCCCCCCCCCCCCCCAAAGUUUUGCUCAAUUGCUUAAACACAUUUGUCGACUCAGACAGCACACUUUCAAAACUGUUAACACACAGGCUGAAACUGAAGCUCAAUGGAACAUGAAGUUGCACUGUUCAAACACAGAAGUGUUGAAUGUGGUUAAAACAAAAACAAAAGGAAACUUAUGGGUGAUAAGAUCUAAAAAACAAAAUGAAGAGUUGAAAUACUCAGAACUUCAAAUUGGAUGUUUUCCCUUGCAGUGUUGCAAUGCACCAAUGGAAAUACCUCCUUGCAUGGCAAAUCCAUCAACAGCCCUCUCUCUUUAGGUGAAACCAGUCUUUCAUUUAGUGCAUCAAGAAAUGUGAUGAGGCAUUCUGUAUUGAACUGAUAGUCUGUAUGUGGCAAAGGACACCAUCAUUGGAGAUGGCAGCACACUUGGUGAUAUUGGCACCCCUCUGACCUGGCACUGCAACCGUGACCCUCUGCCCAAUAAAUGUUCCUCCUGCGUCUCCUCA